AGUGUACAGUUAGAAAGUAAAACUAACUUAUUUGAAAAAGGAAAAUGGAAACAAUAAUUAAAAACACAACUUUACUACUGUAGUCAAAGCAGCAAUAUUUUAGCUGCUAGUUGUGGUCAGCAGAUAGGAAGUGGGGAAAGAUGUAAUAGUCGAGCAACCUAUACUAAGAGUACUCAAUCAAUUAUCGUGUACCUUAUAUACCUAUAGAAGCGGGAAUGCCAACACCAAUU